rnacentral:rRNA from 1 species
GGGGAAUCUUGCACAAUGGGCGGAAGCCUGAUGCAGCGACGCCGCGUGAGGGAUGACGGCCUUCGGGUUGUAAACCUCUUUCGCCAGGGACGAAGCCUUCGGGUGACGGUACCUGGAUAAGAAGCACCGGCCAACUACGUGCCAGCAGCCGCGGUAAUACGUAGGGUGCGAGCGUUGUCCGGAAUUACUGGGCGUAAAGAGCUCGUAGGCGGUUUGUCGCGUCGUCUGUGAAAUUCUGCAGCUUAACUGCAGGCGUGCAGGCGAUACGGGCAGACUUGAGUACUACAGGGGAGACUGGAAUUCCUGGUGUAGCGGUGAAAUGCGCAGAUAUCAGGAGGAACACCGGUGGCGAAGGCGGGUCUCUGGGUAGUAACUGACGCUGAGGAGCGAAAGCGUGGGUAGCGAAC